GUUUGUGUUGUAAAUUGAAAUUGGUGCCUAGGUUCUGUUUUUUUGGCAAGGAACUUGUUUUUUUCAUAUGCAUAUUACUAACUAUGAAUGAUCAUAUGUAUGACCUGUAUGAUUAUUUCUACUGCUAUUUCUGUAUAUUUGCUACCAAAACAUUCUUGUCUGGUUGGUUUUGGUUAUUUUGAAGUCUUUUAUGUUUCAUUAUGUGGACUAUCAUUGCACUGCUGUUUAUGAUUAUCACAGUAGUGCCAAAUCUUACUGGAGUUUAUCUCUUCUUAAAUGCUUCAGAUUGCAUAAAAGGUUCUUAAUUGGUGAUCAUUAAGUUUUAUACCUGUUGUUAUGACUUUAUUUGUGUUUUAGAAUCUUGUAUAAAAGAUUCACAUGGUUUCACUUUUGGUAUUAUUGUCCAUAGAUUAAUUGGGAAACUAAUAACUACACUAUUUGAAUAUAGGAUUUGAAUCAUCAUCCUUUACCCCUUGUUUGGAUGAUGGUUUCCAGUGGUUUCAUAGUGUAUGGUAUGAUAAUGCUACUUGUUUGUGAAGAUU
rnacentral:misc_RNA from 1 species